UACGUAGGGGGCAAGCGUUGUCCGGAUUUAUUGGGCGUAAAGCGCGUGUAGGUGGCCAUGUAGGUCCGCUGUGAAAACUUGAGGCUCAACCUCAAGCUGUCGGUGGAAACCACAUGGCUAGAGUCCGGAAGAGGAGAGUGGGAUUCCUGGUGUAGCGGUGAAAUGCGCAGAUAUCAGGAAGAACACCAAUGGCGAAGGCAGCUCUCUGGGACGGUACUGACACUGAGACGCGAAAGCGUGGGGAGCGAACAGG
rnacentral:rRNA from 1 species